rnacentral:pre_miRNA from 1 species
UGCCGUCUACUUUACUCCUCGCGUGGAUAUUCUAAGCUCACACGAGAGUUAAGCGACGUCGAC